GUCGACAACCUGGUUGAUCCUGCCAGUAGUCAUAUGCUUGUCUCAAAGAUUAAGCCAUGCAUGUGUAAGAUCGGCAUAGUUUUGGGAAGAGGUUCGCCUCAACCCUUAUUCAUUGUUAAUCUGUGAAAGGCUCAUUAAACAAGUUAUGAAUUUAGCCACCUGGUACAACCCUUCGGGGAUGGGAAUAACACUGUCAACUGCAGCGAUAAUGCCUACGAUUACUGUUGAAUUAAGUAGACAGUAGACACUAGAGUAAGGGUGAGUCCGCUCUAUUGUUAGCUGGGAGGAUCCAAGAUUCGUCGGAAGAUCUGAACAGUUGUCGACCAUUAGAUUUUCGCUUGCUUGCAAGCGAAUGCAGCGUGAAUGACUUAGCGUCCUAAUAAGACCUACGGCUUUCUUGUUGACUAGUGGCCAGGAAGAUAUGUUUCUAAUCUAUCAGCUCAGUAGUUUCGGUAAAGGCGAAACGAGGCUAUAACGGAUACGGGGGAUUGGUGUCCAACUCCGGAGAGAGAGCCUGAGAAACGGCUAUCACAUCUAAGGACGGCAGCAGGCGCGUAAAUUACCCAAUUCUAAUUCAGAGAGGUAGUGACAAGACAUAGCGACUUUACACCAAAUGGUGGAAAGGUACCACUUUGUGGUUUGAAAUGGAUGGAGAUUAAACCUCUCCAUGAGUAGCAAUUAGAGGACAAGUCUGGUGCCGGCACCCGCGGUAAUUCCAGCUCUAAAAGUGUAUAUUAAUACUGUUGUAGUUAAAACGCCCGUAGUAAACCAAAGGGUCAUAGUUAUUGAUCUGAUCAGUUCUGUUCAUCAUAGUCGGUCACGUAUUGUGGCUGAUUGGGUGGAUAAGGACAGGUCCUCGGUCUCUAACGGAAGCGAAAGGGUCCGCCCAAUUAGCAUCCGCCAUGGGAUAGGUCAAUGAUUAUGGCUCGUUCCCUAUCAGUCCGUAAGGUCUGAUAGGGCCAAUUGGCACAACCGUAAACAAAUCAGAGUGCUCCAAGCAGGCAAUGUACGGGGUAACCAUUUGCUUGAAUGAUUUAGCAUGGAAUUGUCACGAAGCCGAUCGGAAACUUCAAGGGAUUUCCUGAGAAGUGGAAGAUCCGGCGUUCGCAAUGAGACACUGAUAGAGGAUCCAAGUACUAUGGCGCGAGAGGUGAAAUUCAGUGACCGCUAUAUGACUAUCUAAUGCGAAAGCAG
rnacentral:rRNA from 1 species